UCCCCCCCUCCCGACGUUCAAUUCGAAAUUUAUGGGACGAACCACUUAUAUGUAUGAAAAUGUUCGCGGAUGAAAAACGAUUUCGUUAAUACAUAUACGUAUAUAUGAUAUUAUUAUCAAUGUCCGCGGCGGCGAUAACCGUAAAUCUGUCAUCGGCGGCGCGGAGAAUAUUGUGUUUUUGAUUUGCGCGGUGCCGGGUCUUCGUAUUUUUAUUAUAUUUUGCCGCCGCCGCCUACCGUAUACGCAUGUAUUCGCAUCGGUGUAAUAAUAUAAUAGUAAUAAUAAUUUUCGACAAAACUUUCGUUUACGAUGACACGGGCCCGACGUCGUUUUAUCAAUAACAAUAACAAACACGCGAAUCUAUCGGUUAUGUUCGCCUAUACCGGUGGUUCCCAAACUAUACAUUAUCCGUGUAUACUUCCGUGCAGUUUACCGUGCUCCGUACGGCAUUUCGAUCGCAACGAUUCAGCGUUGUAUUUCUGAUGCAAAAACACCGGUUUAGUUGUUAUACCCUACUUCCUAUACCUUUCGAAUUCGCACACCCAUAACAGUGUGUCCGCCCGUCAUUCGAAGUAUAGGUCUGUAUCUUUUUCCGUAAUUAUA